UGUCAUAAAAAAGUUCAGUUUGAAUCUGUUCAUCCAAAGAAAACUGAAGCAGAGAUUGUUUCUUCAAUAUUGGUGAAAAAAUAUAUCCAUAUUAGCUGCCGCUUUUUAUUUCUUCAGUGUAAAAGAUGGCUGUAGCUGCUUAUGCAUCAUUGGUUUCUCUUACUCAUGUCCUCGACAACAUCCACUACCGGGCUCAGCUUCGUCGCCUUCAUGUGGACAUAAAACAGAUUGAAUCUCUCCAAGAAGCUGUCAAUUUCUUGUUGGAGUUCCUUGAAAAGAACCAUAGAAGUCAAAGCCAGAAGGCUGAAGAUCUUUGGAAACAAAUAUCUGAAGUUAAUUUUGAGAUCGAAGAAAUUUUUGACUUACAUGUUGUGAGUCAACUUCGGAAGGAUUCUCAGGGAGAAAGUAGUGAUAUGGGCGCGAGAUCAUUCGGUGAAGAUUUAGACACUAUGAUCCAAAAGGUUGACCGCAUCAAGCGAGAGCUAUCAAUGGUGGAAGAGGUCGUGGUUGGAAGCAGAGCUUCUGUUCCUGCUGCUGGCUCUUCAACAGCUGCAUCCUCCGUUGGAAAGAAUAUUAUUGUCGGCCUUGAGGAACAUGUGACCAAGAUUAAGGGUGAGCUAGCUAGAGAUAAUGGCAAUCUCCAAAUCAUCCCAAUUGUUGGCAUGGGGGGUAUUGGAAAAACAACUCUUGCCAAAAAAGUUUAUGAAGAUAAAUAUGCUGUCGACCGCUUUGAUGUGCGCAUUUGGAUUACAAUUUCCCAGGAGUAUAGUGUCAAUGAGAUCCUCCAAGGUCUUAUAAACAAUGGAAAAGUUGAAAGACAUUGUGGAAAUUCAGAUGGACCUGGGGAGAUGUUGCGUAAGAAGCUAUACGGCAGAAGAUACUUAAUUGUUAUGGAUGACAUAUGGACUCUUCAAGCUUGGGAUGAUUUAAGGAGGUUCUUUCCGGAUAACGGGAAUGGAAGUCGAAUUAUUGUGACCACUAGGCUAUCACAAGUGGCUGGUUCAUUAGGCUCUCACGACCCCUAUCCAAUGACAUUUCUUGACACAAAUACAAGUUGGAGUUUAUUUUGCCAAACUGUAUUUGGAGAAGAAAAUUGUUCACAUCCAGAAUUGGAGCAAAUCGGAAGGGUGAUUGUCAAGAACUGUAGAGGGCUUCCUUUACAAAUUGCCGUUAUAGGAGGACUACUUGCAAAGUCUUGCAUGACGACAGAAUAUUGGGAAUCGGUUGCUGAAAAUGUAAGUUCCUUUGGCAAUUCAAGUGAUGGCGAGCAUUGUUUGAAUAUAUUACUUUUGAGUUAUAAUAAUCUGCCUAUAUAUCUCAAGCCAUGUUUCCUCUAUAUGAGAUCUUUCCGCGAAGAUGCUGAAAUUGAUGUCUCCUAUCUAAUCCGAGUAUGGGUUGAUCAAGGUUUCAUAACAAUAAAAGAAGAUAAAAGUUUGGAAGAACUUGCAAAGGAAUAUGUGAAUGAUCUUCUCGAUAGAAAUCUACUUUUUGUGCGUGACCGAGAGUUUGGCACUGAGGAAAUUCUAUCAUGCGGCAUCCAUGAUCUUCUACGAGACCUAUGCAUUAGUGAGUCUAAAAAAGAGAACUUUUUGUGUACUCCAAGAGAACAAGAGAUCAGUCCACAAUCUGAGGAAAGAGUGUGUUUCCUAUGUAGCGUUUCAGUGACAGAAACGAGAAAUUUCCUUGCACUUGACGUCAUUCCUCCAUCAGCUUCGCAUUGUAGUCCUCCUGUCUGUGGUCAUUGUAAAAUGACUUAUUCACAUAUGAAGGGACUUCGAUUCGUCAAGGUCAUGGAUAAAGAUGGUGUAGCUCAUGAUUCACUUGUGCAGCACACUAAAUUACGCUACGUUUAUGUUUCCAUGCAUAACCCUCCAAAGUUCAUAUCUCCUUCGACGCUACAUUUGCUAUGGAACCUUCAGAGUAUGAAAUUUAAGAAGUCAGAGGUGGUAGUUUUACCAUCCGAAAUCUGGGAGCUGCCGCAACUUAGAGUUAUUGAAUGCAAUUAUGUGGUUUUUCCAAAGCCUCCUAAUGCUCAUGUCGAAGAGAAAGAUUUCUUUAUUCUGAAGAAUCUGCAACUCCUUGGCUGUGCUAAGAAUCUUGAGUUCACCUGUGAGAUUCUCGAUGGAAUCCCAAAUUUGAAGGAACUAUGGAUAAAGUAUGAUAAGCAUAUGAGAGAGUCGGAUUCUUGUUUGAAUAAUCUUUCCCAAUUACAGAAACUUGAAGUUCUAUCAGUCAAAAACACAUUGCAAAACAUUGGCUAUCCAAAUUCACUCAAAAGGUUGGCUCUGAGGAAAUGUCGAAUUCCUUGGAGUGGUAUGUCAAUGGUUGGUUCGUUACCCAAUCUCGAAAUUCUUGUGUUGUGGGAUACUGCAGAAGGCUCUGAGUGGAAUCCAACUGAAGGGGAAUUUCUUCGAUUAAGAUUAUUGGCGAUUGCUGGUAGUGAUUUAGAACAUUGGGGAGCUGAUCAAGACCACUAUCCUGUGCUUGAGAAUCUUGUACUGUCUAACUUACCUUCAUUGGAAGAAAUCCCGUCAGGUGUUGGAGAUAUAGCAACACUGCAUAAAAUUAUUUUGCGAAAUUGCAGCAAGUCUGCUGUGGAUUCAGCAUGCCUAAUACUUGAGGAACAACGGAGCGUGGGAAAUGAUAUCCUUGAGAUUGAUGUCUCUGAUAAUUCUGACUAUGAAUUCGAAGACGAAGAUGAAGAUGAAGAUUAAGAUGAUGAUGAUGGUAUGUAUAUCUAAGACGGCUCUGAGUGGAAUCCAGCUGAAGGGGAAUUUCUUUGACUAAAAGUUUUGUUUAUUUGGGGUAGUGAUGUAGUACAAUGGAGAGCUGAUCAACACCAUUAUCCGAGGCUCGAGACUCUUGCAUUGUUUAACUUACCUUCAUUGGAAGAAAUCCCUUCGGGUGUUGGAGAUAUACCGACACUGCGUGAAAUAACUUUGCAAAAUUGCAGCGAGUCUGCCGUGGAUUCGGCAUGCCAAAUAUUAGAGGAACAACAGAGCAUGGGAAAUGAUAUCCUCAAGAUUGAUGUCUCUGAAGAAGACUCUGACUUUGAUGAUACAGAUGAAGAUGACGAGGCUGAGAGCUAAGAUGUAGACACCGACAAAGAUGAAGAUGAAGAUGAGUCUGAGAGCGAAGGUGUAGACACAGACACAGACACAGACAAAGAUGAUGAUGAAGAUUAUGCUGGUCGAUGAUUAAAUUCACUACAUCGACGAAAGAAUGAUGAGCAUGAAGCAGUACCAACAAAUGCUCAUUUAUCAGAAUAUGACCAUUACGGAGCAGCUGAAUAGGAUCCAUGCUCGAUUGGACCACUAUGAACCCGAUGAUGAUGCAAGGGCUCUUCCUGUCGCAUGAUGUAAGUUUCGACCUACUUAUAUUUGUACUUAUUUGUUCUAUUGACUUGAUACAA